GGACACUGUGGCCAGGACAGCAGUCCGGGAGCUCAGCAAAGCGGCCAGGCCCCAACCAGAGGACGCUGCUGGCCACACACCAGGGAGACUGCCCCAGACUAUGGCCACAGACAUGUCCACUGUCAGCUAACGGGCCCAUUCAGGAAUGUAAGGACCAGGCCCAGGACCACACACGGUCCCCCUCACAGUGAGAGGGGAUGGGGCCCAGGAGGCUGCCUUCCCCCGCCCCCAGAGGCAGAAGAACACAAGCGUGGGGCGGGGGCCAGUCCCCAGCUGCCGGGAAGAUGAGUGUAUGCGAUGAGCCUCUGAGGCUUCUUAAGGGAGGCAGCCCAAUGGACCUCCGGAUCUUCCCCCACUUCCCAGAAGGCCCACACCAGCUCCUGCUCACAGACAUACGGUCGGCUCUGUCUGCAAGUCCUUGGUCCAACCCCCUUCAAGUCCAGCAGGUGCUUCACCCCAGCUCGGGUUGCUACCUCCAGGAAGUCCUCCUUGAUGUCCAGGCCCACGCCCCCCCCCCCACGCACUGCCCAGCUGCCCUUGUACCUCACUAGACCACGUGCAACCCCUCCACAACGCACGCAGUCCAGGCCCUCUGCCUGCAGCCUCGGUGUCCUAGAAACCUGCAUCUAAGGCACUGGACAGAAAUGGUGUUGUGUCGUGGAAGAGCCCUACUAUAUUACAGGUGUGUUUCCUAGAAACAAGCCUUGGCAGAGGCUCUCAAGCUUCCAGGUCCUAACCUUUUGUUCCAGCCUACUUCCUACCAGCACCGUGACCUUGGACAGGUCAGCUAACUUCGCUGGGCGUCUCCCACAGGCCUGGCUGUGCUGGGCCCCUCCUUGAGACACGUUCUUAUCGGAAACAAGUAGGAAGCACAUCUGUGCUCAUCUCACAGUGGCGGACGGUGAAGCGUCAGCCGGGCUGUGAGCUCACUGGGACUGUUUCCCCGCCCCAAACCCCCUCGGAGUGUCCGCCUGCCCGUUAACGCCCGGGCCCCAGCUCCUGCCAAUCCCCCGGCCAGCACGGGCAGACCGGCCCCAUGGCUGCUCAGGGAUGUGUGUGGCAGAGGGAACCCCGGUGGGGAUGCACCGUGAACAACGUGCCCUCGCCUCGCACGCAGCCCCGGCAGGAGCUCCACUCACGCCUGCCGCAGAAGUAAACCGUGUGGGCGAGAAGCAUCAAGCCAAUGGGGCCAGGCGAACAGAGGGGACAUCAGCAUGCGACUGCCGUGGAGGAACUGGGCAGGGAGAGGCACGGAGGCUACAGCGGUGCGGCCACGGCCAAGGAAACGGGAAGGACGGACCCUUCCUGCCCGAGGUCAGAUGCCUGCCCAGAGCAGGGGUGGGGGGCACCCUCCUGCGCACUUGAUCGAACCACCCCGGGAAACACACACGACCACUUUCCACUGCAGCUCCUUGUGGUGGGUGACGCAGGGCAGUCUGCAAAGCUGAGGGUCCCACUGAGGGGCAGGUGAGGUGGGGAUGCACUUGGUGUGGGUUUCAUGGGACACACGUAUGAUGUGGGUGGUCACCUGCUGACCCUUGGAGGGGCAGUGGCUGCCAGGGACAUCCUGCUUCCACAAGGUGGGGAGGGGCAGGGCUGAAGGGCCCCCCGGAAAGGACAGGACCCCGCUGUCCCACCAGCCAGGGAGCAUGUGGGCAGCACAGGCCAAACUGACCCAAGGAAAGGCCUUGCUCUCCUGUUGUUCUCGGCACACAAUCCUGUGGCGGCGUGGGGGCUGCUGUCCCGCCAGAACAGCACAGGGAAAUGCCCAAAGAUAAGGGGGCGCCGCCGUGAGAGAGCAUCAGCAAGUUAAUGAACAAAACAGUUUUCUGAUAUCCUGGCUUUUUAAAACCAGUGAUUUGUUAUGAUUUCCUUAAUCAUUCCAAGUAAAUGUUCACGUUGAACUCUGA